UACGAAGGGGGCUAGCGUUGCUCGGAAUUACUGGGCGUAAAGAGUGUGUAGGCGGUGCUCCAAGUCUGGUGUGAAAUCUCCCGGCUUAACUGGGAGGGUGCAUUAGAAACUGGAAUGCUAGAGGAUGGGAGAGGUAAGCGGAAUUCCUGGUGUAGCGGUGAAAUGCGUAGAUAUCAGGAGGAACACCUGUGGUGUAGACAGCUUACUGGACCAUUUCUGACGCUGAGACACGAAAGCGUGGGUAGCAAACAGG
rnacentral:rRNA from 1 species